CCUACGGGAGGCAGCAGUAGGGAAUCUUCCACAAUGGGCGCAAGCCUGAUGGAGCAACGCCGCGUGGGUGAAGACGGUCUUCGGAUCGUAAAACCCUGUUGUUAGAGAAGUAAGUGCGUGCGAGUAACUGUUUACGUAUCGACGGUAUCUAACCAGAAAGCCACGGCCCACUACGUGCCAGCAGCUGCGGUAAUACGUAGGUGGCAUGCGUUAUCCGGAUUGAUUGGGCGUAAGGGGAACGCAGGCGGUCUUUUAAGUCUGAUGUGAAAGCCUUCGGCUUAACCGGAGUAGUGCAUGGGAUACUGGGAGACUUGAGUGCAGAAGAGGAGGGUGGAACUCGAGGUGUAGCGGUGAAAUGCGUAGAUAUAUGGAAGAACACCGGUGGCGAAGGCGGCUCUCUGGUCUGUAACUGACGCUGAGGUUCGAAAGCGUGGGUAGCAAACAGGAUUAGAUACCCGAGUAGUC
rnacentral:rRNA from 1 species